AGAUUGAACGCUGGCGGCGUGCUUAACACAUGCAAGUCGAGCGGUAACAGGCGUAGCAAUACGUGCUGACGAGCGGCGAACGGGUGCGUAAUACAUGGGAAUCUGCCUUUUAGUGGGGGAAUAACCCGGCGAAAGCCGGGCUAAUGCCGCAUAAGAUCUUCGGAUGAAAGCGGGGGAUCGUAAGACCUCGCGCUGAUAGAUGAGCCCAUGCCGGAUUAGCUAGUUGGUGAGGUAACGGCUCACCAAGGCGACGAUCCGUAGCUGGUCUGAGAGGACGGCCAGCCACACUGGGACUGAGACACGGCCCAGACUCCUACGGGAGGCAGCAGUGGGGAAUAUUGGACAAGUGGGGGAAACCCUGAUCCAGCGACGCCGCGUGUGUGAAGAAGGCCUGCGGUUGUAAAGCUACGUUUCGGUAGGGAACGAAAUAUGCCGGGCUAAUACGUCCCGGUAGGCUGACGUUACUCAAUGAAGAAGCGACCGCUAGACUCUGUCG
rnacentral:rRNA from 1 species